CCUACGGGGGGCUGCAGUGGGGAAUAUUGGACAAUGGGCGAAAGCCUGAUCCAGCCAUGCCGCGUGUGUGAAGAAGGCCUUCGGGUUGUAAAGCACUUUCAGUGGGGAAGAAAGCCUUGGGGCUAAUACCCUCGAGGAAGGACAUCACCCACAGAAGAAGCACCGGCUAACUCCGUGCCAGCAGCCGCGGUAAUACGGAGGGUGCGAGCGUUAAUCGGAAUUACUGGGCGUAAAGCGCGCGUAGGCGGUCUGAUAAGCCGGUUGUGAAAGCCCCGGGCUCAACCUGGGAACGGCAUCCGGAACUGGCAGGCUAGAGGGCAGGAGAGGAAGGUAGAAUUCCCGGUGUAGCGGUGAAAUGCGUAGAGAUCGGGAGGAAUACCAGUGGCGAAGGCGGCCUUCUGGACUGACACUGACGCUGAGGUGCGAAAGCGUGGGUAGCAAACAGGAUUAGAUACCCCUGUAGUC
rnacentral:rRNA from 1 species